GAGUUUGAUCUUGGCUCAGAUUGAACGCUGGCGGCAUGCCUUACACAUGCAAGUCGAACGGCAGCACGGGAGCUUGCUCCUGGUGGCGAGUGGCGAACGGGUGAGUAAUGCAUCGGAACGUAUCCUGGAGUGGGGGGAUAACGUAGCGAAAGUUACGCUAAUACCGCAUAUUCUGUGAGCAGGAAAGCGGGGGACCUUCGGGCCUCGCGCUCUUGGAGCGGCCGAUGUCGGAUUAGCUAGUUGGUGAGGUAAAGGCUCACCAAGGCGACGAUCCGUAGCAGGUCUGAGAGGAUGAUCUGCCACACUGGAACUGAGACACGGUCCAGACUCCUACGGGAGGCAGCAGUGGGGAAUUUUGGACAAUGGGGGCAACCCUGAUCCAGCCAUGCCGCGUGAGUGAAGAAGGCCUCGGUUGUAAG
rnacentral:rRNA from 2 species